GUGGGGAAUAUUGGACAAUGGGCGCAAGCCUGAUCCAGCAAUGCCGCGUGUGUGAAGAAGGCCUGCGGGUUGUAAAGCACUUUCAGUAGAGAAGAAAUGCCUAAGGUUAAUAACCUUAAGUCUUGACGUAACCUACAGAAGAAGCACCGGCUAACUCCGUGCCAGCAGCCGCGGUAAUACGGAGGGUGCAAGCGUUAAUCGGAAUUACUGGGCGUAAAGCGCGCGUAGGCGGCUUUGUAAGUCGGAUGUGAAAGCCCUGGGCUCAACCUGGGAAUUGCAUUCGAUACUGCAGAGCUAGAGUAUGGUAGAGGGAAGUGGAAUUUCCGGUGUAGCGGUGAAAUGCGUAGAUAUCGGAAGGAACACCAGUGGCGAAGGCGACUUCCUGGGCCAAUACUGACGCUGAGGUGCGAAAGCGUGGGGAGCAAACAGG
rnacentral:rRNA from 1 species